UACGAAGGGUGCAAGCGUUAAUCGGAAUUACUGGGCGUAAAGGGUGCGUAGGCGGUUCGUUAAGUCUGUCGUGAAAUCCCCCGGGCUCAACCUGGGAAUGGCGAUGGAUACUGGCGAGCUAGAGUGUGUCAGAGGAUGGUGGAAUUCCCGGUGUAGCGGUGAAAUGCGUAGAGAUCGGGAGGAACAUCAGUGGCGAAGGCGGCCAUCUGGGACAACACUGACGCUGAAGCACGAAAGCGUGGGGAGCAAACAGG
rnacentral:rRNA from 1 species